CUUGAACGCUGGCGGCAGGCCUAACACAUGCAAGUCGAGCGAGCGGCGGACGGGUGAGUAAUGUAUGGGGAUCUGCCCGAUAGAGGGGGAUAACUACUGGAAACGGUGGCUAAUACCGCAUAAUGAAGGAGGGGAUUGCGUCUGAUUAGCUAGUUGGUGAGGUAACGGCUAACCAAGGCGACGAUCCGUAGCUGGUUUGAGAGGACGACCAGCCACACUGGGACUGAGACACGGCCCAGACUCCUACGGGAGGCAGCAGUGGGGAAUUUUGGACAAUGGGGGCAACCCUGAUCCAGCCAUCCCGCGUGUGCGAUGAAGGCCUUCGGGUUGUAAAGCUCUGUUAAUCGGGACGCGGUACCGGAAUAGAAAGCCACGGCUAACUACGUGCCAGCAGCCGCGGUAAUUC
rnacentral:rRNA from 1 species